UCAGUUGCAAAAAGUGUUUUUAUGCAGAAGUUGUGAAGACAGCAUAGUAUGUGCAGGUCAUCUAUUAGCUAUUCAAAUAUGAGUACUACUGUGCCAUAAUUUCCAGCGUGGAGCUGUGUAGUUGCCUGCUUGCUCUGUAUGAAGGACAGCGAGAUUGGUUGAUCUGAGAUGCCGCGAUAUCUCUCUACCUGGAUGGAGGUCCUGCUAUGUCAUGUUGAUGUUGAGCAAGAAGUUUCAAUGGUGCUUUCAUUGGUAAACUUAAUAUUUAUUUACAUACUGUUGUGCGCUGUUAGCUGACGUUCAUAACGCUUGCCGAAGUGUGACACGUUGAGGAAUGAAUACAGGAGACAGAAAGGGUAGAAACCCGCCGUGGUGGCUUAGCGGCUAUACUGGGUCCAUGGGUCAGGACUGCCCAGCGGCUGUACCAAGCACCCAUGCAUGCCUGAGCUUGGUGCUCGGCCAUCGUCACUCGCACAGCCGCCCUCAAUCUCGGCAGUGGGUGCCCUGUAGUUUCAUAAUUUUAGGCGGUUUCAGACCUUGUUCUUGCUCAGUGGUGCCCAGUUGGCUGCCUUGGUCGGUGGCUUUGGACUGUUGGUGUCUCCAGAGAUAUCAGCUGCUCCCGAUCUUCUUGGCUGAUAGCCUCCCUCUCUUUUCUCCUGCCAUCUGUCUUUCUCCCCCCUCCUUUUUGGGUACACGCUCUACAUUUGUUACCAAAUCUCAGCGCACCACACCUUUGGAGUUCCAUGAGGCCACCGCUCAUUCGACCACAUCAUGCGCAUACAUGGUUCAAUUGCAACAGACCCCAUCGCCACACUUGGUCGUCCUCCACCUCUUUUUUUUUUCUUCUUUGCUCUACAUGUCUUCAUGCGAUUGCUUCUGCACUUCCUUUUCUUCACAUGCUACACAUACUAAGGUAAAAAGAUCAAGAGCAAAAGGAAUAUGUCAAGCAAGCAGUAGUUCCAGUCAAUCAAUUGAAGAACUUCUUUGUGUUGGCCUGGCACGAAAAAAUGGAGCAUGCAAGUUUGCAGACGCUGUGGUCUUCUUCCUAGAACUGGCUGCUGGGCCCACUUUGUAGACCAAAAGAUGCGCUCGACUCUUCUGUGACUUGUAGAGCUUCCAUCUUCAAUGUUUCCAGAUGUGUAUAGCAUGCAUAGCAAGCAACGGUUGUGGAAAGCUGCUGCAGCCGUUUUCUUUGAAUCGUUGCAUUGACCCAGAGGAUUAUGAUGGGGUGAAAUGUUACGUCCUUACCAACAUUUGUGGUGCUUGUCAUAGGGCAAACACCAGGAUCCGUUAUUCUUUCUUUUCUUUAAAUGCACAGCAUGCUUUUGCCAUGUAACCGCCCUUCCACACACAUCACAUGGUCUGUGGCAUUUGUCCCACUUCCAGCAUUGUUUGCAACUGUGCUGUCUUGUUAUAACUCUCUCUAUUUUUAAAAUGUUUCAAUACAGGCCAUGUGUGUGCCUCACACUCUGAACAAUGUACAUGGUAUUUUGCAGUGCACCAUGUGACUUUUGCUAUAAUUCCUGGAUGGGCUGCAUAGCCACAGGUCUUUGAGGCUUUUAUGGUUAGCACUCUUAAUUUUUUAGUGCUCCUGGAAGAAGCCGGUAGCUGGACCCCAUUGUCUAAACAGGUCAGGGUGCAUACAGGUCUUUGAAACCAUUGAAGACCCUUGAAAUUGAAAAGUAUGUUUUCAAGACACUUGAAAGUCCUGGAAUUGUUUCUUUCCCCUCGAAAACCCAAUUUCUUGAGUAAUGCAGUUUAAGAUUGAUUAUGUGACCUGCUUUCUGUGGCAGAUCAGCUCGGACCCGGCAAACUGCCCAUUUCAGGAACAAGUGGCAUAAAAAUUUAAAGCUAGUGUGAGUGCACACGAAUUGCACUUUGUGCUACUUACGGGGAACUGAAACCACACAGUGGGCGAGAGCGACAGACACCGGCACUUGGUGCUCGGUCCCCUCCCAUGCUGCUUCUUCGUGCUUCCUUUGUGCCUUGCUAGAAACUUGAAGUGCUCAAAUUUGAACAUUUUCAAUAUAACUUUUGAAUCUAGUGUAAUAAAGCUAUCUGUUGUGAAGAAAUGUUGUUAUAGUAAAAAAAUUGCUACAUUGGAUGCGGCACUGCACCAUUGAAAAAGCUUUGAUAGGGCCUUGAAAGUCCUUGAAAACCCUUGAAUUUUUGUCUCUGAAACUUGUACGAACCCUGACAGUGUAUUUAACAAAACUUGUUUUCUGGACAAUUCAUCUUGGGAAUGCUUUAUUUCUGUGCAGAAUAUGUAUGACCCCUCAAGAAAAACAAAAGUGACGUGCUGAGAGCCUACUGGCAGUGUCAAACGCAACACAGUAUGUGACUGAAGUGCCCUGGCGGGCUACUGCUCCACAACCAUUUGGUGACAUCGACUUGGCGUGGAACAGCAUCCGUCUUAUUCUGGGGUGUCUUGGCAAGUGUUGCACCUGCGCAUCUCCUUCAAAAUGUUGCGGGGGACAAACAGGCACGCUUAUACUCCACUGGGCCCGUUCCAGAGGAUGUAGUGAGAGAGAUGACUGGCCGCAACUCGCCUCGCCUGUGGAGUGCUCUACCUGCGGUUCCUUGCAUUGCCGGACCAUUGUGAGCGACUUACGAUGGGUCGAGAACAUGGAGUUACACGAGAUCAGCGGAACUGUCCUUGGCUUCCUGUUGCGCAUUCCACUAGUUGUAGUUUUAUUUCAGCUCUGCAGAACAUUCCACCACUAUGGCUUAUUGUUGUUUGUUUCCCUCUGUUGUUUGACUUGGGUGAAAAUAAACACCUUUAGUUAAA